UUUUUUUUUGUUAAUGUGGUGUAUGAUGUUGAUUGAUUUGCGUAUGUUGAACCAUCCUUGUGAACCUGGGAUGAACCCAACCUGGUCAUGGUGUAUAAUUUUUUUGAUAUGUUGUUGGAUUCGGUUGGCUAAGAUUUUGUUGAGAAUUUUUGCAUCUAUAUUCAUCAAUGAUAUUGGGCGAUAGUUUUCUUUUUUGGUGGUAUCUCUGUCUGGUUUUGGAAUGAGGGUGAUGGUGGCCUCAUAGAAUGUCUUUGGGAGUAUUCCUUCUUCUUCAACCUUUUGAAAGAGUUUAAGGAGGAUGGGCACCAAUUCCUCUUUAUAUGUUUGAUAGAAUUCACCUGUGAAGCCAUCUGGUCCUGGACUUUUAUUUGUAGGGAGUGAUUUUAUGACCUCUUCAAUUUCAUUUCUAGUGAUCGGUCUGUUCAGUUGGUCUGUUUCUGCUUGAUUCAGUUUUGGCAGGCUGUAAGAUUCUAGAAAAUUGUCCAUUUCUUCCAGAUUGUCAAACUUGUUGCCGUAUAGUUGUUCAUAUAUUCUCUUAUGGUUUUUUGUAUUUCUGCUGUAUCCGUUGUGAUUUCUCCUUUUUCAUUUAUAAUUUUGGUGAUUUGGGUUCUUUCUCUCCUCUUUUUAGUGAGUCUGGCCAGGGGUUUGUCAAUUUUGUUCACCUUUUCAAAGAACCAGCUCUUGGUUUUAUUAAUUUUCUCUAUUGUUUUUUGAGUCUCUAUUUUAUUGAUUUCUUCUUUGAUCUUUAUAAUUUCCUUCCUUCUGCUGACUUUAGGACUUUUUUGUUCUUCUUUUUCUAAUUCGUUUAGGUGGAGGGUUAAGUUGUCAAUUUGGGAUCUUUCUUCUUUUUUGAGAAAGGCCUGGAUUGCUAUAAAUUUCCCUCUGAGCACUGCUUUCGCAGCAUCCCAUAGAUUUUGAGAGGUUGUGUCUUCAUUAUCAUUUGUUUCAAGGUAGUUUUUAAUUUCCUUCUUGAUUUCCUCAUUGACCCAUUGGUUUUUUAGUAGCAUGUUGUUUAGUCUGCAUGUAGUAGGUUUUUUCUCAUUUCUUUUCCCAUGGUUGAUUUCUAAUUUCAUGGUGUUGUGAUCAGAGAAGAUACUUGAGAUAAUUUCUAUGCUCCUGAAUUUGUUGAGGUUUGUGCCCCAAUAUGUGGUCGAUUCUUGAGAAUGUUCCAUGAGCAUUUGAGAAGAAUGUGUAUUCUGAUUUUUUUGGAUGUAGUGUCCUGAAGAUAUCAAUUAAGUCUAACUUUUAUACUGUUUCCUUUAGGAUCUCUGUUGCUUUAUUGGUUUUCUGUCUAGAGGAUCUGUCCAUGGAUGUGAGGGGCGUAUUAAGGUCUCCUACUGUGAUUCUAUUCCCAUCAGUUUCUCCCUUUAUGUCUGUUAAUAUUUGUUGUAUGUAUCUGGGUGCUCCUGUAUUUGGGGCAUAUAUAUUGAUGAUAGUAACAUCCUCUCCUUGGAUGGAUCCCUUAAUCAUUAAGUAGUGACCUUCUUUGUCUUUCUUUAUGUCUUUUGUUUUAAAGUCUAUUUUGUCUGAUAUGAUUUUUGCAACUCAUGCUUUUCUGUCACAUCUAUUGGCCUGAAAUAUUUUUCCCCACCCUUUCACUUUCAAUCUAUAUGUAUCCUUUGUCCUAGGUGAGUUUCUUGUAGGCAGCAUAUUGAAGGUUUUUGCCUUUUUAUCCACUCAGCCAUUCUGUGUCUUUUGUUUGGGGCAUUCAGUCCAUUGACAUUUAAGGUGAGAAUUAAUAGAUGAUUAUUUAUUGCCAUUUUGAUAGAUGAUUAUUUAUUGCCAUUUGAACCUCGUGUUCCAGUUGAUUCUAUGGUUCUCCAUUUUUUUUUUUUUUUUUGGUUGGAUGGUCUCCUGUUAUUAUCUGCUUGAGUAUUUUUUUUUUUCAUUUUUUGCAAAUGCAAUAUUUGGUUUUGGCUUGUGGUUGCCCUGUUUUUUAAGUAUGCUAACCCCUUCCAAUAAUUGUGUGUUUUAGCCUGAUGGUCCUCUAGGUUCAAACACUUCAUUACUAUAUUAAAAUUAAAGAAGAGAAACAUACAAACAAACAAACAAAAAGGGUUAUUUACUUCCUAACAUCCCUUACCCACAUUUUAUGGUUUUGAUGAGUCUUUUUCAUUUUUUUCUUUUUAAUUUUAUUUUGUUUGAAGCA
ensembl:lncRNA